GCAUUAAUGGGGUAGUGGUAACCUGGGUCGUUGCCAUCUCGUAAAAGAAGUGCGGCUUUUCGACCCGCCGGGGGUUCAAUUCCCCCUUGAUGCA